ensembl:lncRNA
CACUGAGGCAGGCCAGGCUGGCGGGGUGGGAAGGGAUACCAGGGGGCCAGCCCUUCAUCGGCCCUGCCAACGCUUUAUAAUCAGAACAGAUUUUAUACAAGAUGACUUGCGAAAAAGAGAAGCUGUUCAAAAGACAAAGGUUAGAAAACCAUCGAUCUAGUCCAAACCUGCUUUUACCACCACCAUUUGCAGAUGAAGAAACUGAGGGUUGUGCUUAGAUAUGUCUACACACACACACACACACACACACACACACAGAGGCUGCUCCCCAGUGCCAUCGCCUGUGGAAGAGCUGCUCCCAGCCCAGACCCCAGUUUCCACAGCCACCAGAGUCCUUUCUUCCAGAGUGGCCUGAGGCCCUGUGGUUGCCGAAGCUCCCGUGGGAGCCGGGCCAAUAACAGACAUUGGCAGUGUGGGAAGAGUGUGAAGGGUCGUCGGAGGCUGCGUUGCUAUUAGCCGAGUCUGGCUCCUUUGGGCCAGGCGGGGAGCCAACCGCCACUUGAGCUUUGUUUCUGUGGGAAAAUGAGCCCCAGAAUUCCAAACAACAGGCUGAUCAACGGACUCAAGCAUCUCUCCCCGCUUGGCAGCUAGAUCUGCGCUCCCUGUCCACCGAUGCCAAAUAGAAACAUGGAGACAGAAUUUGGAGGAAAUAGAAAGAUGGCUUACAGGCUUCCCUGGUGGCUCAGUGGUAAAGAAGCUGCCUGCAAGGCAGGAGACGUGGCUUUGAUCCCUGAUCCGGGAAUAUCCCACAUGCUGUGGAGCAACUAAGCCUGAGCACCACAGCUAUUGAGACUUUGCUCUAAAGCCCAGGAGCUGCAGCUACUGAGCCCAUGUGCCACUUCUGAAGCCUGCAUGCCCCAGAGCUUGUACUCCUCAACAAGACAAGCCACGGCAAUGAGAAGCCCGCACACCGCAACUAGAGAGCAGCCCCUGCUGUCUGCAACUCGAGAAAAGCCCGCGCAGCAACGAAGACCCUGCACAGCCAAUAAAUAAAUUAAUAAUAGCAACAAUAAAAGGAAGAUGGCUUAAUUCCGCUGCCAUGCAUGGGGAAAAGACACAGCAGGAUAGCAUCUCAAGGACUGUACCCCCUUCCUAGGAGAAUUGAGAGACGUUAUAUAGCCUGGAUUUCAUGGUUUUAGGGAGAUGCCUAAGAACUGCAGGAGGUCCUGAGUAGUCCUUUACGGGCCCCACCUGGGUGCAAGCCUCCAUCUGCUUCCCAGCAUCCUCAGCGAAUUGGCCGGGGAGGCGCUCACAGCCCGAGCACGGAGACAGGACCACUGGCCGCACGGUAAAUGGUUCUUGGAAACGUACCGGUGAGGCUGUGGUCUGUGUCAACCAUGCUGCUUAGUCAUACAUGUACAUGUCCUGACUCUAAAAUAUGAAUAUAUC